AAAAUGAGAAGUGGGAGAGACAUACCAUUCAAACUGGGACAAAGAAUAAAUAAAAAAGAUACAUAGUCUCAGGGCUAUUACAGAGAUUACAGUUUACAGAAGUUCACAAACCACACAUUCAAAGAUACAUAGUCUCAGGGCUCGCUGUUGAAGUCGAAGCUUCAAGCCUUCAACAGCUAGGAAGCUCAUAAACACACGCACUGGCAUAGUGGCAUGGGAUGGCAAGAUCCUUCAAUUUAUUCAGCUUGAAAACCACAAGACACAAAGUGUGCUGCCUGCACGAUCAUCAAGCAACGUGCAGCGCGUCACGGAGCGCGGCACGGAGACGGUCGGCCUCGCCGCGGCGCACGACAGCCGCGACGGUGCGGCCCCGCCCGCCGGCGUCGCGGUGCACGACGGCCGCGCCGCCGUCGCCGACGCCGUCCACGGCGUACUCCACGUGCGCCGGGCGCCGCCCCGCGAGCUCCAGCCCGUCGUACACCGCCAGGCCCUCGGCGUCCACGAACGUCAGGUUGGCGCCGUACACGACCACGUCGACGUCCUCCCCCUCCGCUCCGGCCAACGCCGCCGCCGCGACCGCGCUGGCCUCCUCGAGGUGCGCGCCGGCCAGCAGCGCCGCCAGCUUGGCGACGUCGACCGUCCCUGGCGACGAGCCGCCGGUCGCGACGACGUGGCCGAUGCGGUGCUCGUUGGCCAGCCCCGCCGGCGUCGGCGUCGGUUCGGUCUUCACGACGGUCACCGUGCGCGUCGCCUCCUCCUCCCCGCCGGGGCCUCGGAUCGCGGCCAGCGCCCUCCAGAUCAGCGCCGAGACCAGCUCGAACGGGCCCACCACAUGGCGCUGCUGAUGACCCUCGGGCGCCGCGCUGAGCAGGAGACCCUGCAGCUGCUGCUCGGUGACGUGGAAGGAGAAUGGCACCAUGUCACGGGUGGUCGGGACGGCCCAGUGAUCGCCGACGGGCGCGGCGGUGGCCUUGACCGACGGCGGCGGGGCCGCCACGCUGGCAGGUGAGGCCGCCGACGGCGGCAUGGCGAGUGGGUCUCUCAGGGUCGGUGCCGGGGCCUUCUUGCCGCUGAAGAGCUGCGCCCACUUGCUGAAGCAGGCGGCGGCGGAGGGGAUGUCGCCGAUGACGUGCGCCCAUGUGAAGCCGAGGGCCAUCCCGCCGCACUUGAAGCUGGUGACCUGCUCAAGUACUUGCCGCUCAGUUAGUGCCAGCAAAAGCUGGCAUUGUUUAGUUCGUCAAAAAUUUUACAAAAACUUUUAGAUUUCCCGUCACAUCAAAUAUUACGGAUAUAUAUGAAGCAUUAAAUAUAGGUUAAAAAAAUAACAAAUUACACAUUUUGCAUGUAAAUUGCGAGACGAAUCUUUUGAGCUUAGUUAGCCUAUGAUUGGACAAUAUUUGUCAAAUACAAAUGAAAUUGCUACUGUUCACAUUUUGCAAAUUUUUUUGCAAGUAAACAAGGCUAAAACUAUUUGGAAGAGCAAGAAAAACAAAAUACACCAGCUCCUAAAAUGAAAUACUACCUAUAGUAUUCAUAAGUUCAUAAAGCUUGUAGUUCUAUCUUUAUCCUAAAUUAUCUUUGAGGAUCAAUUCAUACAAAUUUGGAUAAUCUAGUAGCAUACAAAUUGUUAUCAUGAAAAUAUUUUUCACGAUGAAUCUAAAGAAAAUCUUAGUUAAAUUAUAUGACUUCUAGAAACUAAUGAUUAAAGAUAGAAAUGUUUGAUUUUAGUCAAAACUGUAAAACAAUAAUUUUUCUGAAAGGUCAUAUAAAGUUUACAUAGGUGGUGCUUCUAUCCCAACUAACAGUUGCAUGACAAAAAUUGAAUGUGGAUCUUUUUGUCUAUUAUUAGUGCACCGAUUAGUGGUUAAGCUAGCUAAGAGUAUCUCUAAUGGUCUUUCUUAAAUUUAUUCUCUAAAUCCUUCAACAAUUUUUCUUAAACUUACUCUUUAAAUACUCUUUUAUAGAGCCGUUUUAAUAAAAACUAUUGUCUAUAUUUUUUCAUCCUCUAACAGCUUCUCUAUAUUCUGUGCAUACUUCAGAUAGCCAACUCCGCUAUCUUUUUUGGCUAUUGAGAAAUAAGGAAUAGAGUAUGAUAAUACUGUAUACCGCAUUGAAGGUUUCCAAGACAAAGUACUCACUCAUAUUAGAAAGAAUGCAAUUUCAACUUUGGUUCAAGUCAAGACAUCUUAAUCUGGACCAAAUUUAUAUGAACAGUAUAUUAAUACAUAUGAUAUACUUUGCAUAUGUAUUAUUAGGUUUGCUAUGGAAUAUAUUAAUAUAUAUCUAUAGUUGUUUAUGUUGAUAAUAUUUUUCAUAAAGUAAAACUAAAGAUAGUUUGACUUUGAUUAAACCUAGAAUUACAUUCUUUAUUCUUUUUAUUAGGGGGGGCGCGGUAGUACUAUCUUGAUACGAGCUUAUGAUAAACGGCUCUGGCCUUUUUUUCUUUGUAUGAUGGAGUCGAAGCCAAUAAAACAAAAACACUAAUUAUUAUCGGCUCUUAAUUCUAGUACUUGAAAGGACAAGGGACACAACAGUAUAUGCUACUCUAUCACUCUAGUCUGUCGCCUCACACUUCAAGUAGCUCCAUGUGCAUGAGCGCCCGUUUCUGUGCGGCUGCAAUGCACCUACAGUGAGAAGUGAAGAACAUGUACUAGUGCUAGCGCAUCUCAACCACCCGUUGUUUUAAGAACAAUUGAAAUUAUGAUCCGCUCAACUGCGGUACCCUCCGUGCUUCGACUUUGGGUUCAGUAACUUUGAGACCAUGUUUGGAUCAAUGGAUUCUUAAAUGAAUUUUGAAAUAAUAAACUCUAAAAAAUGUAAAAGAAUCAUAUCAUAGUGUUUGAAACGAAGGAAAUUUAAGUUCCUUUCCAAAGGAAAGGAAAUCAGAGUAGUGAAAAAUGUAGGAAAUAAAACCUUCACUCAGCUCCAACUCAAUUAAGGGAAAGAAAAUUUGCUCCUCUUGCUAUGUUGGUCCAUGUUCUGGACAUUUUCUCCUGCAUUCCAAACAGCUCAAAGUAUCUAUUUAUGUGUUUUGGAAUCUACAAAAUUUUUCACUAUUCACUCCAUCCUAUUCUUGCAGGGUUUUUUCUUUUCUAUUCAUGUCUUGUACUUUAUCCUAAAUUAUAAGACGUUUGAUUUUUUUAGCUCAAGUUUAACCACUCAUCUUAUUAACAAAUUAUGAAAACAUAGCUAAAUUUAAUUCAUUUUUGAAGAACUUUUAUUAAUAAAUCAAGCCACGACAAAAGAAAUGAUAUUUUGUUAGGAUGAGUAGUUAAACUUGAUGUUAAAAAGUCAAACAUUUUAUAAUUUAGAAUUGAUUGAGUACUCCUUUGUUCCAAACAGAAUAUGAGAAUGUUAUUUAUGUAACGUGAGCACAUCUUUUACAUUGCUCUCUCUCUCUAAGUCUGUAACCCCAAAUGCACCUCCAAAACUCUAGUAUAAAGUUCAGACCAGCAUUAUUCGCCUGCCGUACGUAGCCGCGUUUAAGAAAACAUUAUGAUCCGCGUAUUAAACUAGUAGUAUUUAUUAAAAGUGAGUUGCAAGAAAUUAAAAUGAGAGUAGAUGUGUGUGAGAGGCCAAUUAUUUGGCACGAUAUAUGCAGAUACCUGCACGUAGAGCAGCGGCGAGAAGAAGAGCUCCGGCCCGAUCACCUUGUCGUAGGCCAGCGCCUUGCAGAGGCCGCCGCGCUCCGCCUCCGCCUCCAGCCACUGCUCCACGGUGGCGUCGCAGGCCACCUCCACGACGCGCACGCCGCAGUCGUUGCACCGCACGUACGGCCGCCGCCCCACCGCUGCUGCGGCGGCGUCGUCCUUGCCGUCGCCGUCGCCGUCCUCCGCUUGGCGGCGCCGCCGGAGCCGGCCGCUGACGGGGAAGUACAUGUCCAGCCACGGGAACAUGGGCUCCUUCAGCGCCUCCAUGGCGAACGCCGCCGGCGCGCGGAACACGUGCACCGCGCGGAGGUAGUGCAGCUUGUGCAGCAGGUCGGCGUCCGCCAGCUCGUAGUUCACCUCC
rnacentral:lncRNA from 1 species